UUUACUUUUAAUAUUUAAUAUCAUGAAACUGAAUUGGUAUUAUUUUUGUAAAAGUUCUUUACAUUAUUGUUUGAUGUGUGUGAUGAUAACCAUUGACUGCUGUUCCUCCCGACUCCUCUAAUCUCACCGCUCACAAAUGCUUUCUACAUAAAGCUGGUGUCUAUCUACAUAUUCUUUGAACAAUAUGUCAUAUGUUUUGAACAGUUUGAUAUUCACAUAAUAUUUUUUAAUAUUUAAAUUAUAUGAGCAGGGUAGAGUAAUGAAUUACCGAAAGAGUAGCUAUCAGUAUAUAUAUAUAUGGUUGUGAAAAUAUGUGAUUCCUUACAAAGAUGUAUGGCUCAAAUUUAAAGCCACUAAGUGUAAGGGAAAGAAAUGCAUGUGCCUUUUUGUCCGUUGUCAUGGCCCUUAGAAUACUGACAUCACAAUGGUUCUUCAUCCUGACUGCUACAGAAUCCUCGAACUUCAGUAGCUUGACUACCAACCUUAGUCACCAGUUUGCUAUUCAGGACUAGAAAGGCAAAAUUCGAGUUUAUUCAAAGGUUCUCCCUUCCAGGCUCCACCAAAAAGGUAUUUUUUUUUAUAAGUAAUUUGUUUCUCAUGAUAGCUUAAUCAUAUCAGGAAGUGUUCUCUCUUUAUUCCUCUAGAUCAUAUGAACUAACUCUCAACUCAGUAGUGGUUUCUUGAAAAGGUAGACAUUCAAGCCAUAUUCGGUACCAAUCUUCUGUAGAAACAACAUUAUUAUAUGAAGGGAGGUAUGCUUUAAGCAUACAGGAGAACAAUUUCUGUAAAUCUUACCAAAAAAAAGUGUCCAGGUUAUGCUUGAGCAUUGUUUUAUAUGCAACCCAAUUGUUUUAACCACCAUGACUACAAAUAUUUUUAAAAAGAAUUGGUCAUUCUUUUUUGUAGACCCUAAACCUAAGAACUCCCUGGUUUCCUUCAAAUUGUUAUAGUUACAACACAUAUUGUGUUCUUUGGAAUAUAUUUCUGAAUAUUUGAACAUUAAUUCUAAUUAGACAGGAACUACUUUCCAGACAUGUUAAUUUCCUUUCAGUUUGUCCAUCACAAAAUUUAGUUGCUAUUAUUUUGUAACAUAUCUUCACAUUAGUGUUUGAAGUAUGCGAUGACAACCAUUCGCUGCUGUUCCUCCUGACUUUGAAUCUCAUGGGUCUCAUAGGCUUUCCACAUAAAUGCUGGUGUCUCUCUACAUAUUCUUUGAAAGACGUCAUAUGUUUUGGCGAGAAUUAUAGUCACUAAAUAUAUAAUUUUAAUAUUUGUAUUGUAUGAGCAGGGUAGAGAAAAGAAACCACCAAAAAGUAGCCACUUCAUUAUUAUAGGGAAGAAGGUUAUUAUGGAUUAGAUAAAAAUGUUCAGAGGCAUCUAAAAAUGUUUACAGCCGAUUGAAGCUUGAUUUUACGACUGAUGUCUAAGAGAGAACAGACAAUAUCAAGGUAGAAUAUUGGACAUACCUGGGGGAGUGAGAGAAACACUGCCUUCAUAAAGCAAAGGGUGCUUCUAUAACAUUUUGGGAGUUAUCUUAGUGCAUAAGCUGAUGGAGAUCUUUGGGAAGGAAUGGAAAUCUAAGGAAAAUGAAUAACGAUUACUUUUACUUCCUGUUCACGUUAAAUAAGGGCAAGUGUGGCUAUUGGCUCCAGAAGCUUGCUACAGCGGGGGCGCUGAGACGCUGCGUGAGCCCAGCGACAGGUCCAAGCAUGUGGACAGAGGUAGCUGCUGGCCGCCUCUGCCCAGCCAGCAAGGUCCGGGUACACUUGCUGCCCAGCGCGCCUGGCUCCUAGGCCACGGUGGAGAUGUCGUCCCACUUGUUGUCCCAGUCAUCUUCGCUGCCUUGUCUGGCCUGGUGACCUCCAAGGAGCUGCUGGGGCGACUUAGGUGGUACUGUCAGUAUAGGACUAGGCUGAGGGGGCAGGUCAUCACUUAUUAAUGUUCCAGAUCAAAAGAUGAGGAGGACACAAAGCAUUCUGAUCUCCAAUGCUCUCUAGAAUACAAAUUAAUUUAUGAAAAGUACAUGAGGCUCCAGACAUGGCUCAGUACUAAAAAAAAAAAAAAUCCACAUUCAAUCUGGAUCCUAUUUGAUCUAAGCACCUAUAUGUUUGCACAUAAGUUCUGUACUCAAUUUCUAAUUUCCUCCGGUAAUCUUGGCUCUAGUAAUGAAUUCAUAUACCUACAUAUAGACCAAAAAUUCACAUGCACAAAGUCUUCUGAAAAAAAUAGAAAUCCAUGAACAUAGAACUCUGUAACUGUGUACCUGCUCAUGAGCCUGCCUGGGUUUCCUCAGUCUUGAUGCAAGUACUGAAGGGGAGGUGGGGUGGGGGAUCAGGCAAAGAAACCAUGGGGAAGUAGAGAGUGUGGAGUUCUAGUGGAAGCUUAAAGUCCCUGGAAACCCCACGACAGCAAGAGAAGGAGAACAUGGAAUAUUUUAGCCAGGUGUAUAUGGACUUCCUACUCAGCCAUUAGCUCUCCUUAAUUUGAACCAGAGAAAGAAUAAUAGUAUUUAUGUUGUAGACUCUGAAUGUGUUUUCUGGAGAGACCUUGUGGCUACAAGUUGAGGACCUGUUGGAGAUAAUAAAAGAUAGAAAAUCUUGCCGAUUUUCCUAUUGUUUAGUGUCCUGAGCAUAGGCCCCUCAGGAAUUGCUCUAGGGGUUUAGUGUGACUGGGAUAAACUACGUAUAUAUGUUUUGGGCUCAGUUAAAUGCAAAAUUUAAACAGUGUCUGAAGGAACUUGGGAUGCGGAAAUUCAGCAAUGAAGAAGGAACAAAUGUUCUGAACUUCAUGAUCGUUUAGGUAGAAAGUUGCUAAUAUCUUUCCUUUCAUUUUCACUAAGGUUCAAGGUAAUCAGAUAAGUCACCCAGAAGACAAAAAGUAUGCUAUUCUGCCUUACAUCUCAAGUCCUGCUUCUUGGGAUAGAGACAGAAAUAUACCCAGGCAUCUAGCCAGUUUGGAUUACAUAGUUAGACCUGAUCACAAGUAAAGCCAAUUCUAGAGAGGAGAGAAGGGAUGUGCUGAUAUGUUUGUGAUUCUCCAUCCACAAGCAAGGAACCUCUCAGGUGAUUUCAUUAACACAUUUAAAGAACAGUUUAUCCUCCUUGCUGCUGGCAUUUUCCUGUUAGCAUAAUAAGAACAUUUGUAGUCUGUGAGGUGUCAGGUACAAUGACAUUCCUGAAUGACAAUCAUGCAGUUUGUGAGGUAGGAUAUCCAUAUAAGGCAAGCUAGCCACAUGAUUUUCUUGCCUCAACCUCACUGAGCUUUGAAUGACAGUGAUGUUGAUGUUCUAUUUAGACCAGAGUUAAUGAUAUAGCAUGCUCAAGUUCUGAAGAUCCAAACCCCACAAAUCACCAAUAUAGCUGCCAGAAGCUAAAAGAUACUAAAUAGUUACACAAAGGCACAGGUGACAAUAAAGAAAUAUUCAUUGCUCACAACCUGUAUUGUCGUGAUCUCUUAGGCAACUUGCCUUUAAAUGGUCAAGAGAGAUUCCGAGGGAGCAGCCAGAUGGAGUUCUCCACAGACUGACUGGAGCCAACUGAGGAGACAGAGAUUCUAAGCUGAAUGAGAGGCAGUUAGUCCUUUGUCCUCCAUGGAAAAGUUUCUGGGAACCUGAUGUCAAAUGUCACCUGUGCAUACUUCCCUGAGAAGUGGAAUCUGGCUGCGGUGCAACACCAAGAGAAGCAGCAUCUGUAGGUAUCUGGAUCCUCCCUUGUCAGCAGCUCUAAGCUUGACUUGCAAUGGCUGCCUGCCUCAGUUUGCCUACCAUAUAGAUGCCCAAGCUGGUCUGUGGCAACAGAGGACAAUGAAACAACAUCAACAUAGAACUUUCCACAAUGGAAACUUCUUAAUGACUGAAGAAGGUGCCGGUCAUGCUAUUUCAACGUUCUGUUCUAGUUCCCUCUUAACCAUAGCAGAAGAGAUUCUUACAAGAAAGAAUUUCAGUUUUUUAUUUAGCUUCAUUGUUACAAAUAGUUUCAUUCACUGUAAUUAUUUUAUGUUAUGUAUUACAUAUUCUUAUCUAUUUUAAUGAAUGGUAUUAAAUUAUGUUAUUGCUUGGACUCCAGUGUGCCUGACUCUUGAUUCUACACAGUAUUUGGAAGAUUGCAUUUACAGUACUCUCUUCCACUUCUGUUAAUCAGGCACCUGAUUUCAUGUGACAGAUCCUCUAGAAUCAAUAAAUUUUUUCUUCCAAACUACAAAAGAAUGUCACUCUAAGUACUGCUCAAAAAAAUAAAAGUUAUUUGACCAAAUUCUUCCAAAUUCUCAACAUAAAACUCUCCCCAUAUUCUGAACCAACAACUAAGGGAUACACAUGGUUCCAGCCAAAAUAUGUCAGAGGAGUUCCUUGUCGUGAAUUAGUGGGAAGAGAGACCCUCGA